GAUCUAGCUGAAAAUGACACCGGUUUUCAAGGGUGUUUCUACGGUUCCAGUGACAGAUUAACAAGAUUUCUACAUUAUUACCAGGAGAAGCAGUCUUGAGAACCAGGCUAAUCAUCUAUGUGGCCUUGGGAAACAGUCGUGAGGUGCAGCGCAGAAGUGCUUUUAGAAUAUAGCUGGUGAAGCCUCCCUGAUCUCUCUCGUCUGCGCGUCGCCUCACCCACAGCCUAGCCUCGCCUCAGUCACCGCCUCCCCACCUCCGCGAUCCAACGCAUCCCAGCCUCACGUAACCUAACCUACGUAACCAAGGCAAUAGCGUUCCUGAUCUCUCGCUUUUCGCCUCACGUCAUCAUCUGAACCGUAAAAGCGUGCUGAAUACCACCACCACCACCACCACCGCCGCCGCCGCUACCACCACCACCACCACCGCCGCCACCGCUACCACCACCACCAUCGCCACAGCAAAAGCCUGCGUGCGAUCGGGUGACGUAGAAAAUGGCUUCCGACGCUCCUUUGUUUUUUUUUUUGUUUUUUUUUUCUAUUUUUUUUUUCGGGGGAGGUUUUGUGAAAUUAAUAAAGAAAUGAGGAAAAAUAAUAAAUCGUUUUCUUUUGUUUAAUUUAGAUUUUUACAGAGGUUUUGCGAAAUUAAUAAAGAAAUGAGG